rnacentral:rRNA from 1 species
CCUACGGGGGGCAGCAGUGGGGAAUAUUGGGCAAUGGGCGCAAGCCUGACCCAGCAACGCCGCGUGAAGGAAGAAGGCUUUCGGGUUGUAAACUUCUUUUCUCAGGGACGAAGAAAGUGACGGUACAUGAGGAAUAAGCCACGGCUAACUACGUGACAGCAGCCGCGGUAAUACGUAGGUGGCAAGCGUUAUCCGGAUUUACUGGGUGUAAAGGGCGUGUAGGCGGGAACGCAAGUCAGAUGUGAAAACCCGGGGCUCAACCUGUGGCCUGCAUUUGAAACUGUUUUUCUUGAGUUCUGGUGCGUCCGUCGGCAUUCCUCGUGUAGCGGUGAUAUGCGUAGAUAUGAGGUGGCACACCAGUGGCGAAGGCGGUCUGCUGGACAGCAACUGACGCUGCGGCGCGAACGCGUGGUGAGCAAACCGGAUUAGCUACCCGGGUAGUC